UGCGCAGGUGGCGAGGUAAGUCGGAUGUGAAAUCUCGGAGCUCAACUCCGAAACGGCAUUGGAAACUACCUUGCUCGAGGAUUGGAGGGGGGACUGGAAUACUUGGUGUAGCAGUGAAAUGCGUAGAUAUCAAGUGGAACACCAGUGGCGAAGGCGAGUCCCUGGACAACUCCUGACACUGAGGCACGAAAGCUAGGGGAGCAAACAGGAUUAGAUACCCUGGUAGUCCUAGCCGUAAACGGUGCACGUUUGCUGUAAAAGGAAUCGACCCCUUUUGUGGCGUAGCCAACGCGAUAAACGUGCCGCCUGGGAAGUACGGUCGCAAGAUUAAA
rnacentral:rRNA from 1 species